AGAGUUUGAUCCUGGCUCAGGACGAACGCUGGCGGCGUGCCUAAUACAUGCAAGUCGAGCGGGAACUUGGGGAGCUUGCUCCCAAAGUUUCAGCGGCGGACGGGUGAAUAACACGUGGGCGACCUGACCUGCAUAUCGGGAUAACUCCGGGAAACCAGUGCUAAUACCGAAUAGUUUGCGGCCUCUCAUGAGGCUGCACGGAAAGACGGUCUCGGCUGUCACUGCAAGAGGGGCCCGCGGCGCAUUAGCUAGUUGGUGGGGUAACGGCUCACCAAGGCGACGAUGCGUAGCCGACCUGAGAGGGUGAUCGGCCACACUGAGACUGAGACACGGAAUCUACUCCUACGGGAGGCAGUCUGAGGGAAUCUUCCGCAAUGGACGAAAGUCUGACGGAGCAUCGCCGCGUGAUUGACGAAGGUUUUCGGAUCGUAAAACUCUGUUGUGAGGGAAGAACAAGUACCAUUUAACUGAUGGUACCUUGACGGUACCUCACCACAAAGCCACGGCUARCUACGUGMCAGCAGMCGCGGUAAUAYRUACGUGGCAAGCGAAGUCUGUCCUGAAUUAUUGGGCGUAAAGCGCGCGCAGGCGGUCCUGUUAAGUCUGAUGUGAAAGCCCACGGCUCAACCGUGUAGGGUCAUUGGAAACUGAAGGACUUGAGUGCAGAAGAGGAAUGAGUGGAAUUCCAUGUGUAGCGGUGAAAUGCGUAGAGAUGUGGUAGGAACACCAGUGGCGAAGGCGACUUUCUGGUCUGUAACUGACGCUGAUGCGCGACAGCGUGGGGAGCAAACAAGAUUAGAUACGAUGGUAGUCCACGCCGUAAACGAUGAGUGCUAAGUGUUAGCGGGGUUUCCGCCCCUUAGUGCUGCAGCUAACGCAUUAAGACACUCCGCCUGGUGAGUACGGACCGCAAGGCUGAAACUCAAAGGAAUUGACAGUGGCCCGCACAAGCCGGUGGAGCAUGUGGUUUAAUUCUGAAGCAACGCGAAGAACCUUACCAGGUCUUGACAUCCCGCUGCCCGGUGUAGAGAUACGCCUUUCCCUUCGGGGACAGCGGUGACAGGUGGUGCAUGGUUGUCGUCAGCUCGUGUCGUGAGAUGUUGGGUUAAGUCCCGCAACGAGCGCAACCCUUGAUUUUAGUUGCCAGCACUCAGUUGGGCACUCUAAGGUGACUGCCGGUGACAAACCGGAGGAAGGUGGGGAGGAGGUCAAAUCUUCAUGCCCCCUAUGACAUGGGGUACACACGUGUUACAAUGGACGGUACAAAGGGCGGCAAACCCGGGAGGGGGAGCCAAUCCCAUAAAACCGUUAUCAGUUUGGAUUGCAGGGUGCAAAUCUCGUGCACGAAGCCGGAAUCGCUAGUAAUAGUGGAUCAGCAUGCCACGGUGAAUACGUUCCCGGGCCUUGUACACACCGCCCGUCACACCACGAGAGUUUGUAACACCCGAAGUCGGUGAGGUAACCCUUACGGGAGCCAGCCGCCGAAGGUGGGACAGAUGAUUGGGGUGAAGUCGUAACAAGGUAACCGUA
rnacentral:rRNA from 1 species